GACGAACGCUGGCGGCGCGCCUAAUACAUGCAAGUCGUACGGGCACCCUUCGGGGUGUCAGUGGCGGACGGGUGAGUAACACGUGGGUGACCUGCCCUGCAGUGGGGAAUAACUCUGGGAAACCAGAGCUAAUACCGCAUAUGCUUAGUGCAUCAUAGCAUUAAGUAAAGAGAAAUCGCUGCAGGAGGGGCCUGCGCCGGAUUAGCUAGUCGGUGGGGUAAGGCCUACCGAGGCGACGAUCCGUAGCUGGUCUGAGAGGACGACCAGCCACACUGGGACUGAGACACGGCCAGACUCCUACGGGAGGCAGCAGUAAGGAAUAUUCCACAAUGGGCGCAAGCCUGAUGGAGCGACGCCGCGUGAGCGAAGAAGCCCUUGGGGUGUAAAGCUCUUUCAGUGGGAUGAUAAUGACAGUACCACUGGAAUAAGACCUCGGCUAACUACGUGCCAGCAGCCGCCGUAA
rnacentral:rRNA from 1 species